rnacentral:lncRNA from 1 species
AGUAUGGGUCCAGAGCCUGGCCGGAUAAUGUUCUCAGAGUUGGGGAAAGCAGGAUGCCAGCCAGGGUGUUUCUGCGGGUCGCGCAUCCAUCCUUACCCACGUGGAUAGAAUUUUAGACCUGGAGUUUACGGGUGGAGAACUUGAGACAAGACUGGGGAUGGGGGUGUGUGACUUGGAGCCUGCCUAACCAGUAGGCGGCAAUGUUGGAACCUCCGCCAGGGUUCUAUACUCUGAGCUGUCAGGAGUGAUUACUACCAAAACUCUUCCAAGCAAGUGUGUGUUACUACAUAUUCAUAUAAUGACAUUAGGGUCAGGUGUGGCAGAAAGCACUUGCGGACCCAUCCAGAAGCAGAUAUACUCCCAGGAAGAAAGUCACAAUAGUGGCAACAAUUUCGUGAAGAGAUUUGGGUGUGUGUGUAUGUAAAAUGAUUGAAAUGUGCUUUAUUAUAAAGAAUUGAGCGGCGAGGACUUUGUGUAAUCACAUCCUAAGAAAUCCGCACAGAAACACUGGUUCAUUUUCAUUUCAUAAGCACAUAGGGGGAUGCAUCUAGUUAACAGAUAAUUACAGAGUCCCAGCUGGGAAGCUAGCCGC